UACGUAGGGACCGAGCGUUGUUCGGAAUCAUUGGGCGUAAAGAGCGUGUAGGCGGCCACUUAAGUCCUGCGUGAAAUCUUGCGGCUCAACCGCAAGCGGUCGUGGGAAACUGGAUGGCUAGAGUGCGGGAGAGGAGAGUGGAAUUCCUGGUGUAGCGGUGGAAUGCGCAGAUAUCAGGAAGAACACCCGUGGCGAAGGCGGCUCUCUGGAACGCAACUGACGCUGAGACGCGAAAGCGUGGGGAGCAAACAGG
rnacentral:rRNA from 1 species